rnacentral:rRNA from 1 species
GAUAAACGCUGGCGGCGCACAUAAGACAUGCAAGUUGAACGGACUUAAUCGAAAUAUUUAUCUUUUGAAGCGGUUAGUGGCGGACUGGUGAGUAACGCGUAAGGAACCUGCCUAUUAGAGGGGAAUAACAGUGAGAAAUCAUUGCUAAUACCGCAUAUGCCAUAGAUAUCACAUGAUAACAGUGGGAAAGGAGCAAUCCGCUAAUAGAUGGCCUUGCGUCUGAUUAGAUAGUUGGUGGGGUAACGGCCUACCAAGUCGACGAUCAGUAGCCGGACUGAGAGGUUGAACGGCCACAUUGGGACUGAGAUACGGCCCAGACUCCUACGGGAGGCAGCAGUCGGGAAUAUUGCGCAAUGGAGGAAACUCUGACGCAGUGACGCCGCGUAUAGGAAGAAGGUUUUCGGAUUGGAAACUAUUGUCGUUAGGGAAGAGAAAGGACAGUACCUAAGGAGGAAGCUCCGGCUAACUACGUG